GACGAACGCUGGCGGCGCGCCUAACACAUGCAAGUCGAACGGAGUCAAGAGGAGCUUGCUUUUCUUGACUUAGUGGCGAACGGGUGAGUAACGCGUGAGUAACCUGCCCUGGAGUGGGGGACAACAGUUGGAAACGACUGCUAAUACCGCAUAAGCCCACGGAUCCGCAUGGAUCUGCGGGAAAAGGAUUUAUUCGCUUCAGGAUGGACUCGCGUCCAAUUAGCUAGUUGGUGAGGUAACGGCCCACCAAGGCGACGAUUGGUAGCCGGACUGAGAGGUUGAACGGCCACAUUGGGAGUGAGACACAGCCCGGACUCCUACGGGAGGCAGCAGUGGGGGAUAUUGCACAAUGGCGGAAACCCUGAUGCAGCGACGCCGCGUGGAGGAAGAAGGUUUUCGGAUUGUAAACUCCUGUCGUUAGGGACGAUAAUGACGGUACCUAACAAGAAAGCACCGGCUAACUACGUG
rnacentral:rRNA from 1 species